CCGCAGCGCUCUCCUUCCUGCCCUCCCCAGCCUCCCGCGGGUGCAAGCAGGGGCAGCCCUGACCGUCCCCACCGUUCACUCAUUCCACAGGCGUUUGCUGUGCACCUCUUGUGCACCAAAUUCGAUGCUAGGCGCUGGGAAUUCAGCAGUGAGCAAAAGAGAAGGAAGGACCUGGUGAAAAAGAUAAAAAGACAGAGAGGCAGUCAGGCGGUGACCACACGGUGGGAGGCCACUGCACAGGCAGAGGCGUUUCAGGGUAUAUGGACGGGAGCCAGGUAGUUAUGGAAGGCUUCCUGGAGGAAGUGGCACCUGCUCAGAGGCCUGAAAGAGGAAUGGGCCUUGUUGUGGGGAGAGGCAGGUUGGGUACUCCAGGUAGAAGGAGCGGCAGGUGCAAAGGCUUGGCGGUGAGAAGACAGGGCACACGGCAAGGACUGAAAGCACAGCAGAGAAGCAUCGCAUGAACUUUCAAUCCUCAGGGUGACUCUGACGAUUAAAGACGCAUAUUUUUGAUCCCAUGAGGACCCUAAACGCAAGCCAGCGACUUUAUCUGGUGCUCAACUGAAGAUAUAGCCACAUUUUCCCACAUUGGAGGAAGACUGUUUUGGACUUACUGAGAGGUACUAAGUCCGGGUACUGUACCUAUGAGUGACUGAAGACAUUUUCAAGGGGUCGUCUGGACUUAGCACAUUUAUCUCCUUCACUCCGACCUUAAGACAACCCCCACUGUGAAGGACAGGAUGCCAGGACAGGGGCACCUGCCUGAGUCAUUUGGAGGAUGAGCCGUGAGACUGGGAAGGUGGACAGCAUCGGGGUAUAAAGGAUCUUGCGGGUUAUGGUACCGACUUCAGACUUAAGAGAACCAGGGAGCCAUGGUUUACAGCAGGGAGGUGGGGGACAGGAUCUGAUUUCGGAAAACUUAAUAGCUCACAAUAGCCACGAUUUAUUUGGCUCCUAUUACAUGCUGGCACAGGACAGAUAGGGAGAACUGAUGGUAAAGUGAAGGCUGAAACCAGCCCCUAGUGGCAAAGCAUGGAAACAGAAAACUUCACAGCAGAG
rnacentral:lncRNA from 10 species